GUUAAAGGAAUGUUAAGAAGCAACAUUCUUGCUCAUUCUUGUUCAACUUGUCUAUCUUGGUCUGGUUCACUCAUGAACUCAAAAACUCCAGCAGACCUUUGCAAGUGCCAUUGACACAUCAGUGUCACGCAAGUACCUUUAUGGAAACAGUCGGAUUCAAAAUUGAAAACUCUACUAAAAAGGAAUAUGUAUGUUUAUAUUUGGCUUACGAUGACUAUCGCUGGUACAGAAGUAUUGUUAUUGCCACAACCAGGUCAAAUAAGCAUUGAGAAGCUGGACAUCACAAAGAUUAACAAAGGAACGGCUAAUUCACAAUACACUACAAUAUACUUUACUU